rnacentral:rRNA from 1 species
UACGGAGGAUCCAAGCGUUAUCCGGAUUUAUUGGGUUUAAAGGGUGCGUAGGUGGAAUAGUAAGUCAGAGGUGAAAGCUAGCAGCUUAACUGUUAAAUUGCCUUUGAUACUGCUUUUCUUGAGUAUAGUUGGCGUUGGCGGAAUGUGACAUGUAGCGGUGAAAUGCGUAGAUAUGUCACAGAACACCGAUCGCGAAGGCAGCUAACGAAGCUAUCACUGACACUGAUGCACGAAAGCGUGGGGAGCAAACAGG